CGGAGGCAGGAUCUGCUAUCUUU
rnacentral:snRNA from 1 species